AGAAAAUCCUGUCUGAAGGGAUUUAUUAGAGAAUGUGAAUGCCACAUCCAACCAGCCCCUGGUUGAUAGCCCACCCCCAGAAGCUGGAGGGUGAUGCUGGGAUGCUCACAGCUCCCCAAGCAGCACAUGGACGCCUCAGAAGGGAAUGAGAAUCCCAUGUCUUUCUCCUCUCUUAAACUUCUGUGAAUCAAUCAAAGGAGAAAAAAAACACUAAAAAGAAAGUAACCAGCAUAAGGAAACAGCUGAAAGCCAACAGGUUAACCAGAGCAGCAAUGAGAGGCUGCCAGCACAGCACUGACAUGGAAAUGCAGCCUCAAACUGUGCCAGGGCAGGGCAGGGUCCCAGCCCAGCCCAUGUGCCCUGCAAAGGCUCUGGGCUCCCCCAGAAGGGGCCUGGGCUCACAAGCAGGACCUCAGGAGCACCAGAGCUGCUCCUCCAGUAAGGGGCAGGGAUUAAUCCCACAACUGUAUGCUGCGGGAGUGGAAAUGAAAAGCCUUUUAUUGGCAACCUCAUUAUUUAGUGAUAAUUAGAGCCCAGUGUGCCAUAAACUGCCCCCAGAUUUUAUUUUUACAAAGAGAAGGUAAAUUCACUGCUCCUUCCACAGAUCUCUUCAAGUACAGAGGAAAUUGGAAAUGCAAUGGCAGAGUUCAAUCCAAUACAGCAUUAAACAAACCUUUCCCCACUCUGUGCUUUUCAGGGAGAUGGGGAAGGCAGAACUGCUGCUUCAAUUAUUCCUGCAGCUUUACUUGCUUAGUCUCCAGCAGCUCUAAUCUGCCUCAUUUGUAAUUUCUCCCAACUGCAGGAGGCACAUUGGAAUUGCCAGGGAAGAUCAGCUCCCCAACACAUUUAGCCCUCAAUUCCUGCCUCUGGCAACUGCCUGACUUUUAACUUGCACUGUAAAGCCAACAAAAGGUAUUUUCUGAGCUAGGAUGCCAGCUUGUAGCCCCAAGCUUUCAAUUCACACCUUUCCUCCCUAAAUAUAUAUUGUCCUUUACACCCUAGUCAGGCUGGUGUACCUUUCACUGGCUUUCCCAAAAACAAGGCACAGAAGGAAUUUUCCCCCCAACAAGAGGGAUGUCGUGAGGCAGAUCCAGUGUUCAGAAGGCUGGGAUGUCUUCUAGGAGUUACAGGGGAGAGACCCAAAGCACCUGGUGACUGAAAUAACACCCACAGCUGUAAUUCUCUAGCAAACUCCUGGCCUUGGCCAUGGUUUUGUAUCAAAGGAGUGGAUUACCACAUUUCCUUACAAAGCAAACAAACAGCAAUUUCUGAUAAAAAAAAUUUGAAAAAAAAAGAAAAAAAGGAAAAAAACCCCAACUUUUAAGCUUGGCAAUAUCAAAAAAAAAAGCCACUUCUAGUUUUUGUGGCAGAACACCAGUCCCAGUCCCAGGUGUGUGCCCUGGAUGUUUGUGACAUUCCUGGAGUCACCAAUCAACAGUGCUGCACACUGCUGUGAGGGAAGGACAGUGACAAUUAGCACUGAACACUGAUUUGGGGCAGGAAAGAAGCUCAAGACUUCUCAGUUCUAAUUGGAAAGGCAGUGCAGUAAUUUUCUGUCACUUCCUUGUGCUCAUCUGACAUGCCAAUCACAACUGGUGAGGAAGAGCAGUUCCAUUUAAUGUAAUUUUGAAUAACAGCAGCACAUUAUUGCUGCAGAGUGAUCAGUACCUGCACUCCCAUCACAAGUUGGUGGCACAGCAUCACUGCUCCAGUGCCAAAGCUCGUGGAGUGAGCACUCCUGAAGUUCUCACACUGCAUUCUGUACAUCAUUGUAAGAGCUGAGCAGGUUUACAAAAAAGCAGCUCUUUGUGAAUUACUGUAUUAACUCAGCAGAGAGGAAAAAGCCAGUUUGUAGGGAUUCUAAUGGAAAAAAUCAAGUAGUUUCAGUUUCAUUAAACUGUUACAUUCUUGAAAUUGUAAUUUUAUAGUUAAGUCUAAUACACUGAGCAAUUUAAACCAGAGCCUGGCUGGUGAUGUUCUGUACAAUCUAUGAAUAUUCAGCAGCAAUUUGAACCUGGA